UAAAUUACUCUAGUGGCGCACGGGUGAGUAACACGUGAGUAACCUGCCCCCGAGAGCGGGAUAGCCCUGGGAAACUGGGAUUUAAUACCGCAUAGUAUCGAAAGAUUAAAGCAGCAAUGCGCUUGGGGAUGGGCUCGCGGCCUAUUAGUUAGUUGGUGAGGUAACGGCUCACCAAGGCGAUGACGGGUAGCCGGUCUGAGAGGAUGUCCGGCCACACUGGAACUGAGACACGGUCCAGACACCUACGGGAGGCAGCAG
rnacentral:rRNA from 1 species